rnacentral:rRNA from 1 species
UGUGAGUAAAGUGGCAGACGGGUGAGUAACACGUGAACAAUCUACCCUCGAGAGGGGAAUAACCCCGCGAAAGCGGGGCUAAUACCCCAUGACAUCUCCGAGUCGCAUGACUUGGCGAUCAAAGGCUUCGGCCGCUCAAGGAGGAGUUCGCGCCUGAUUAGCUAGUUGGUGAGGUAACGGCCCACCAAGGCGACGAUCAGUAGCCGGCCUGAGAGGGCGAACGGCCACACUGGAACUGAGACACGGUCCAGACUCCUACGGGAGGCAGCAGUGGGGAAUUUUGCGCAAUGGGCGAAAGCCUGACGCAGCAACGCCGCGUGGAGGAUGAAGGCCUUCGGGUCGUAAACUCCUGUCAGUAGGGACGAAUGCCCGAAAGGGUUUGACUGUACCUGCUGAGGAAGCCACGGCUAACUCCGUGCCAGCAGCCGCGGUAAUACGGAGGUGGCAAGCGUUGUUCGGAAUUAUUGGGCGUAAAGGGCGCGUAGGCGGCUUUGCAAGUCAGAUGUGAAAGCCCCGGGCUUAACCCGGGAAUUGCAUCUGAAACUGCUUUGCUUGAGUUCUGGAGGGGGUAGUGGAAUUCCCAGUGUAGCGGUGAAAUGCGUAGAUAUUGGGAGGAACA